CCAUCAUCCAACAGAAGUGCUCUGUGGACUCUAACACAGCCAGUUUCAAGACAGCCAAGACAAAAUGAAAAACCUGCUGAAGCUGGGACACUCUCUGCUCUGCAUAGAAAUUGGACACCCUCCUUUCAGACAUGACAUCCAUAUGAAGAGAAUCAAUUCAGGUCCAGAUUUUGAUCCAAUGUAUGCACAGUCCCAAAUGUGGGUAUUGUGAAGAGGCCGUGGAAAUUAUUGGUGUUCAAACAAUGCAGACAUCAUGCUGUC